rnacentral:rRNA from 1 species
GCGGAUGCCCGGUGCUUUGUGAUACACUUUCGAAGAGUCGAGUUGUUUGGGAAUGCAGCUCAAUUGGGUGGUAAAUUCCAUCUAAGCUAAAUAUUGGCGAGAGACCGAUGCGAACAAGUACCGUGAGGGAAAGAUGAAAAGCACUUUGGAAAGAGAGUUAACAGUACGUGAAAUUGUUGGAAGGGAAACGCUUGAAGUCAGACUUGCUAUUUGGAAUUCAGCCGCAGGGUGUACUUUUCAAUUCGCAGGCCAGCAUCAGUUUUCGGGGGUGGAAAAGGGUAGAGAGAAGGUAGCAAUUUCGGUUGUGUUAUAGCUCUUUGCUGGAUUCAUCCUUGGGGACUGAGGAACGCAGUACGCUUUUUGCAAGGCUUUCGAGCUUUUCGUGCUUAGGAUGCUGGUGGAAUGGCUUUAAACGACCCGUCUU